GACGAACCGUCCUAACGUUGUUCGGAAUCACUGGGCUUAAAGGGCGCGUAGGCGGGUUCCCAAGUCGGGGGUGAAAUCUUUCGGCCCAACCGGAAAAGGGCCUCCGAUACUGGCGAGCUCGAGGGAGGUAGGGGCGGACGGAACUUCCGGUGGAGCGGUGAAAUGCGUUGAUAUCGGAAGGAACGCCGGUGGCGAAAGCGGUCCGCUGGCCCUCUACUGACGCUGAGGCGCGAAAGCCAGGGGAGCAAACGGG
rnacentral:rRNA from 1 species